UACGUAGGGGGCGAGCGUUAUCCGGAUUCACUGGGCGUAAAGCGCAUGUAGGCGGUUGCACAAGUCCGUUGUUAAAGCCCCUGGCUCAACUGGGGGAGGUCAAUGGAGACUGUGCGACUUGAGGGCAAUAGAGGCACGUGGAACUCCCGGUGUAGCGGUGGAAUGCGUAGAGAUCGGGAAGAACACCAGUGGCGAAGGCGACGUGCUGGGUUGCACCUGACGCUGAGAUGCGAAAGUGUGGGGAGCAAACGGG
rnacentral:rRNA from 1 species